rnacentral:rRNA from 1 species
AUUGAACGCUGGCGGCAGGCCUAACACAUGCAAGUCGAACGAGUGGCGGACGGGUGAGUAAUGCCUGGGAAACUGCCUGAUGGAGGGGGGUAACUACUGGAAACGGUAGCUAAUACCGCAUACCAUGGGAAGUGCCCAGAUGGGAUUCGCUAGUAGGUGGGGUAAAGGCUCACCUAGGCGACGAUCCGUAGCUGGUCUGAGAGGAUGACCAGCCACCCUGCAACUGAGCCACGGUCCAGACUCAUAGGGGAGGCAGGAGUGGGGAAUAGUGCACAAGGGGAGCAAGGCUGAUGCGGACAUGCCGAGUAUAUGAAGAGGGCCUUCGGGUUGUAGAGUACUUUCAGCGGGGAGGAGGUACCAGCUGAAGAAGCACCGGCUAACUCCGUGCCAGCAGCCGCGGUAAUUC